UUCGCAUCGCAAAGCGGCGGUUUUUUGUUUCGCCGUUGCAGCAGCAACAGCAGCAGCAGCGUUAACUCGUGCAAAUGCAGCCAGGUCGCCCAAAACGAGAAAUAAGUUCACGUUCAUAGUAUCCACAGUAUCCACAGUAUCCAGUAUGUAAUAUACAUAAAACAUCAUAAUUAGCCAGUGGAAAUUCAGUGUGAAUGCAAAAGUGAAACCUUAAUGAACGCAUCACGAUCGCUCACGCCAUCUAUGUGUUAUGUUUAUGUGUAAAUCUUACAACAACAAC
rnacentral:sRNA from 1 species